rnacentral:rRNA from 2 species
UACGAAGGGGGCUAGCGUUGCUCGGAAUCACUGGGCGUAAAGCGCACGUAGGCGGGUUCUUAAGUCGGGGGUGAAAUCCUGGAGCUCAACUCCAGAACUGCCUUCGAUACUGGGAAUCUUGAGUCCGGAAGAGGUGAGUGGAACUGCGAGUGUAGAGGUGAAAUUCGUAGAUAUUCGCAAGAACACCAGUGGCGAAGGCGGCUCACUGGUCCGGUACUGACGCUGAGGUGCGAAAGCGUGGGGAGCAAACAGG